rnacentral:rRNA from 1 species
ACCUACGGGGGGCAGCAGUAAGGAAUAUUGGUCAAUGGACGCAAGUCUGAACCAGCCAUGCCGCGUGGAGGAUGAAGGUCCUCUGGAUUGUAAACUUCUUUUAUUUGGGAAGAAACCCACGAUUUCUAUUGUGGUUGACGGUACCAGAUGAAUAAGCACCGGCUAACUCCGUGCCAGCAGCCGCGGUAAUACGGAGGGUGCAAGCGUUAUCCGGAUUCACUGGGUUUAAAGGGUGCGUAGGCGGGCAGGUAAGUCAGUGGUGAAAUCCCCGAGCUUAACUUGGGAACUGCCGUUGAUACUAUCUGUCUUGAAUACUGUGGAGGUAAGCGGAAUAUGUCAUGUAGCGGUGAAAUGCUUAGAUAUGACAUAGAACACCUAUUGCGAAGGCAGCUUGCUACACAGUCAUUGACGCUGAGGCACGAAAGCGUGGGGAUCAAACAGGAUUAGAUACCCCUGUAGUCCUG